GCCUGGGUAGCUCAGUCGGUUAAGUGUCCGACUUCAGCUCAGGUCAUGAUCUCACGGUUUGUGGGUUCGAGCCCCACAUCGGGCU
rnacentral:tRNA from 1 species